UGGCGGACGGGUGAGUAAUGUCUGGGAAACUGCCCGAUGGAGGGGGAUAACUACUGGAAACGGUAGCUAAUACCGCAUAACGUCGCAAGACCAAAGAGGGGGACCUUAGGGCCUCUUGCCAUCGGAUGUGCCCAGAUGGGAUUAGCUAGUAGGUAGGGUAACGGCUCACCUAGGCGACGAUCCCUAGCUGGUCUGAGAGGAUGACCAGCCACACUGGAACUGAGACACGGUCCAG
rnacentral:rRNA from 1 species